rnacentral:rRNA from 1 species
GACGAACGCUGGCGGCGUGCUUAACACAUGCAAGUCGAACGGAAAGGCCCUGCUUUUGUGGGGUGCUCGAGUGGCGGACGGGUGAGUAACACGUGAGUAACCUGCCCUUGACUUUGGGAUAACUUCAGGAAACUGGGGCUAAUACCGGAUAGGAGCUCCUGCUGCAUGGUGGGGGUUGGAAAGUUUCGGCGGUUGGGGAUGGACUCGCGGCUUAUCAGCUUGUUGGUGGGGUAGUGGCUUACCAAGGCUUUGACGGGUAGCCGGCCUGAGAGGGUGACCGGCCACAUUGGGACUGAGAUACGGCCCAGACUCCUACGGGAGGCAGCAGUGGGGAAUAUUGCACAAUGGGCGGAAGCCUGAUGCAGCAACGCCGCGUGCGGGAUGACGGCCUUCGGGUUGUAAACCGCUUUCGCCUGUGACGAAGCGUGAGUGACGGUAAUGGGUAAAGAAACACCGGCUAACUACGU